rnacentral:lncRNA from 1 species
ACCCUUAGACUUGAUCUUCUAAGAAAAACUCUCUUCUACUGUUUCACUUGAUUUCUGUUUUAGUCUGCUUCCAGUUUUGGAAGAAAUGGUCUUUGUCCUGUCUUUAAAUCUGUUGUUCUUCAUGUGGAUGUCACCCUAGAAGGUAAAAUCCCAAAAGCUGUUUAGUUGGUCAUUGUUGGCAUUAACGUGGGAGAAAGAAGACAGAGACUGCCUCAGAGACGCUCCUCAACCCGCACCAGUGGCUGUCUGCAAGCAAAGAACUUCACUAGCCUGGGGGGUGGGGAUAGCAAAGGGGGCCCCUCUCUUUAAAGGAAGCCUGGAACAACACGUUCUUUCUGUAUCUUAAAAGCAGGCAUGAAGUUUGGUUUAAGGCUGUUAGUUUCCAAAGUCACAACGUGAGAUAGAAGGGAAAUGACAGUGACACAGUUCCGCAGGCAAAACGGGUCCUC